AGAGUUUGAUCAUGGCUCAGGAUGAACGCUAGCGGCAGGCUUAACACAUGCAAGUCGAGGGGUAACAGGGAUUGCUUGCAAUCCGCUGACGACCGGCGCACGGGUGCGUAACGCAUAUGCAACCUACCUUCUACAGGGGGAUAGUCAAUAGAAAUGUUGAAUAAUACCCCAUACGAUCUUUGAAUAGCAUUAUUUAAAGAAGAAAGUUCCGGCGGUAGAAGAUGGGCAUGCGUCCUAUUAGUUAGUUGGAGAGGUAACGGCUCCCCAAGACAUCGAUAGGUAGGGGUCCUGAGAGGGAGACCCCCCACACUGGUACUGAGACACGGACCAGACUCCNGACGGGAGGCAGCAGUGAGGAAUAUUGGACAAUGGAGGCAACUCUGAUCCAGCCAUGCCGCGUGCAGGAAGACUGCCCUAUGGGUUGUAAACUGCUUUUAUACAGGAAGAAAUGUACCUACGUGUAGGUAUUUGACGGUACUGUACGAAUAAGGAUCGCCUAACUCCGUGCCAGCAGCCGCGGUAAUACGGAGGAUCCAAGCGUUAUCCGGAAUCAUUGGGUUUAAAGGGUCCGUAGGCGGUCUUUUAAGUCAGAGGUGAAAUCCUACAGCUCAACUGUAGAAUUGCCUUUGAUACUGAAGGACUUGAGUUAUUGUGAAGUANUUANAAUGUGUG
rnacentral:rRNA from 1 species